GACGGAGGAUGCAAGCGUUAUCCGGAAUGAUUGGGCGUAAAGCGUCUGCAGGUGGCAGUUCAAGUCUGCUGUCAAAGACCGGGGCUUUAACUUCGGAAAGGCAGUGGAAACUGAACAGCUAGAGUAUGGUAGGGGCAGAGGGAAUUCCUGGUGUAGCGGUGAAAUGCGUAGAGAUCAGGAAGAACACCGGUGGCGAAAGCGCUCUGCUAGGCCGCAACUGACACUGAGGGACGAAAGCUAGGGGGAGCGAAUGGG
rnacentral:rRNA from 1 species